AACACAUGCAAGUCGAGCGGUAACAGGGGAGCUUGCUCUGGGUGACGAGCGGCGGACGGGUGAGUAAUGUCUGGGAAACUGCCUGAUGGAGGGGGAUAACUACUGGAAACGGUAGCUAAUACCGCAUAACGUCGCAAGACCAAAGAGGGGGACCUUCGGGCCUCUUGCCAUCAGAUGUGCCCAGAUGGGAUUAGCUAGUAGGUGGGGUAAUGGCUCACCUAGGCGACGAUCCCUAGCUGGUCUGAGAGGAUGACCAGCCACACUGGAACUGAGACACGGUCCAGACUCCUACGGGAGGCAGCAGUGGGGAAUAUUGCACAAUGGGCGCAAGCCUGAUGCAGCCAUGCCGCGUGUGUGAAGAAGGCCUUCGGGUUGUAAAGCACUUUCAGCGAGGAGGAAGGUGGUGAGCUUAAUACGCUCAUCAAUUGACGUUACUCGCAGAAGAAGCACCGGCUAACUCCGUGCCAGCAGCCGCGGUAAUACGGAGGGUGCAAGCGUUAAUCGAAAUUACUGGGCGUAAAGCGCACGCAGGCGGUUUGUUAAGUCAGAUGUGAAAUCCCCGGGCUCAACCUGGGAACUGCAUUUGAAACUGGCAAGCUAGAGUCUCGUAGAGGGGGGUAGAAUUCCAGGUGUAGCGGUGAAAUGCGUAGAGAUCUGGAGGAAUACCGGUGGCGAAGGCGGCCCCCUGGACGAAGACUGGAGCUCAGAUGCGAAAG
rnacentral:rRNA from 1 species